GAGGUCACCCAUCCUAGAACUACUCUCACCCAAGCACGCUUAACUGCG
rnacentral:sRNA from 1 species